UACGUAGGGUGCGAGCGUUAAUCGGAAUUACUGGGCGUAAAGCGUGCGCAGGCGGUUAUAUAAGACAGAUGUGAAAUCCCCGGGCUUAACCUGGGAACUGCGUUUGUGACUGUAUAACUCGAGUGUGGCAGAGGGGGGUGGAAUUCCACGUGUAGCGGUGAAAUGCGUAAAUAUCUGGAGGAACACCGGUGGCGAAGGCGGCCUUCUGGCCCGGAACUGACGCUCAGGCACGAAAGCUAGGGGAGCGAACGGGAUUAGAAACCCGGGUAGU
rnacentral:rRNA from 1 species